AGAGAGAGAGAGAGAGAUGAUGAAACAGAGCAUUAUUUUUUUUUACUUCUUAAUAGAAGAAUUAAGACAAAGAACUACGCACAUAUUUUUAGAUCAGAUGGAAGGCCAAAAAAAACUAGAAAUAGCCAAGGAUUUAUCUAAUUAUGAUCAAAUAAGCAAUAUUCACAUAUAUAAUCAAAAACACAAUUGAACUGAUGAUUCCGAUAAAAAUCCCCAACCUAUUGGACGGUUAUGGAAUCCGUAUAUCAAAUAGAUGAUCAACUUUCAACAGACCUACGCUAGACAGAUAAUAGGUUAGCUCAAUCCAAACCCACAACUCAUAAAAACUCAAAUCACUAACCAAACUACCAAAAAGUUCAAAACCAGAAGCCAAAACCCUACGUUGCAUCGACUAAUCCAAGCGAUCUAUAGCCGAAUCGCAAAUGAAAAAAAAAAUAAAGAAAUCUCAAAACCGAAAAAAGAAAAUGGACGAUUCAAAGAUCUAACACGAUUUCGCAACAAAAACCAAAAAUCACAUCCCCAAUCGACCCAAAAACAUUUGAAUCGGACGAUACACGCUUCAAAACUCGAAGAAAGACAACCGAACAAACAAAGAACACCAGAAACACAAGAAGAAACAAGAAUCGAUUGCAAUAAAACCCAACGUAAUCGAUUAAGGACUCAGAAAACUUUACCUUAGAAUGUAGAGAGAGACAAAGGAUCUACAGAAGGAUAAGCCUCUGCUCUGCGUGCGGCUUGCGUUAGGGAUUGCGGGAUGCUUUGGUAGAGGGCAAUGAGCUAGAGAGAGAGUUUUAAAUAGGCUUUUACCAAUUUC
rnacentral:misc_RNA from 1 species